UGGAGGGGUGACCGAGUGGUUUAAGGUGGCGGUCUUGAAAACCGUUUUCGCUUUUUGAGUGAACGUGGGUUCGAAUCCCACCCCCUCCGUC
rnacentral:tRNA from 1 species